rnacentral:lncRNA from 1 species
AUGGAACGCCGCGCUGGGCGCUGGAAAGGUCGACCCUGGAAGGGAAGCGCGGGCCCCUGGCGGAGCGGAGCGGGCCUCCUCGGCGGCAGAGCGCAUGUUGCUUCCUCCUCGGCAGACUGGUCUUCCCUUUGUUACAAUUCCCUCCAUGAGCUACAUGUCAUCACAGAAAGUCCUCAAUUAAGUUUGUAAAGUGGAAUACUAUUGAGAGGAGAAAAAACCCCAACAACACCUAUUUUUCAGAUCC